rnacentral:rRNA from 1 species
AACGUAGGUUCCGAGCGUUAUCCGGAUUUACUGGGCGUAAAGCGCGUUCAGGCGGUUUGGCAAGUCGGGCAUGAAAUCUCUCGGCUCAACCGGGAGAGGUUGUCCGAUACUGCUGGACUUGAGGGCAGUAGAGGGUGGUGGAAUUCCGGGUGUAGUGGUGAAAUGCGUAGAUAUCCGGAGGGACACCAGUGGCGAAAGCGGCCACCUGGACUGUACCUGACGCUCAAACGCGAAAGCUAGGGGAGCGAACGGG